rnacentral:rRNA from 1 species
GGUGGGGAUGACGUCAAUCAUCAUGCCCCUUAUGUUCUGGGCUACACACGUGCUACAAUGGCCGGUACAGACGGACGCAAAGCCGCGAGGUGGAGCAAAUCCUAAAAAGCCGGUCUCAGUUCGGAUUGCAGGCUGCAAUUCGCCUGCAUGAAGUCGGAAUCGCUAGUAAUCGCAGGUCAGCAUACUGCGGUGAAUACGUUCCCGGGCCUU